UGAAAUCUGGCGCCCACAAGCGUCUGAGUUGUACUUUGGAGAGGCAUCUUCGCGAGGGGUCCAGCCUAUGUUCCUUGGAACAGGGCGUCACAGAGGGUGAGAAUCCCGUUCGUGGCUGGAUACUCCUUGUAGUAUGUAGUGUCUUCAAUGAGUCGAGUUGUUUGGGAAUGCAGCUCAAAAUGGGUGGUAAAUUUCAUCUAAAGCUAAAUAUUGGCGAGAGACCGAUAGCGCACAAGUAGAGUGAUCGAAAGAUGAAAAGCACUUUGAAAAUAGAGUCAAACAGUACGUGAAAUUGUUGAAAGGGAAGCGCUUGAGAUCAGAGUCAGCCUUUGACAAACAACAUUCCUUCUGGAUAGUGCACUUGUUAUUGGCUGGGCCAGCAUCAGUUGGGACGGUAGGAUAAAGGCCUUGGGAAUGUGACUCCCUUCCGGAGUGUUAUAGCCCCUGGCGCCAUACUGCCUGCCCUGACUGUGGACCGCGCUUCGGCUUGGAUGCUGGCUUAAUGGUCUUCAGCGGCCCGUCUUGAAAACACGG
rnacentral:rRNA from 1 species